CUAGCCCCGAAAAUGGAUGGCG
rnacentral:snRNA from 1 species